rnacentral:lncRNA from 1 species
CACUCUGAAUAAAAGUAGCUCUAUGAGAGUAAACACUUAACUGUAUUAUUCGAGUCUGUUCGUGUGUCUCAUAUCAAUCCACUUGAACACUGCAGGAGCUCAGCGUCUCAAAUUAUCAGUUUUAAAGUACCCUAAGUCGUUUUUGAAGGUGGAAUUUGCGAUACAGAUUUUGAAAUGUAUGGGCAUGAAUUUUAGUUGCCUUGACUUUGUAAAGAUGUGGCUGUUUGCUAACAUGUCACUUCCUAUUCUACUCAAUAUUUAAACAAACAUACAAAUCUAACAGUCGCUAAACUUUAUCUCAUAGUAACAGUUACUGUGUAUAUCACAAGUGCGUUCAAAUUAUGAAUGUGAUCAACUACAUGCAAUCUUAUUCCCAUGAGAUAAUAAAUGAUAACGACCUUUCUCUUUCACAGAUACAUUUACCACGCCAACCACGAACAUUGCUGUAACAUCACCACUUCCAGAUGGAAACGUGACUAAUGCAGUGCUUAGCUCAACACAAACAAUUGGAAACAAUGCAUCUACCACAGUAUCAACGAGCGUUUCUGCAACAUCACUCC